UACGGAGGGUGCAAGCGUUAUCCGGAUUUACUGGGUUUAAAGGGUGCGUAGGUGGAUAAUUAAGUCAGUGGUGAAAUCUUCAGGCUUAACCUGGAAACUGCCAUUGAUACUAUUUAUCUUGAAUACUUUGGAGGUAAGCGGAAUAUGUCAUGUAGCGGUGAAAUGCUUAGAUAUGACAUAGAACACCAAUUGCGAAGGCAGCUCACUACACGAAUAUUGACACUGAGGCACGAAAGCGUGGGGAUCAAACAGG
rnacentral:rRNA from 1 species